CCUACGGGAGGCAGCAGUAGGGAAUCUUCCACAAUGGGCGCAAGCCUGAUGGAGCAACACCGCGUGAGUGAAGAAGGGUUUCGGCUCGUAAAACUCUGUUGUUGAAGAAGAACGUGCGUGAGAGUAACUGUUCACGCAGUGACGGUAUUCAACCAGAAAGUCACGGCUAACUACGUGCCAGCAGCCGCGGUAAU
rnacentral:rRNA from 1 species